AGGACGAACGCUGGCUGCGUGCUUAACACAUGCAAGUCGAACGCUGAAGCCCCAGCUUGCUGGGGUGGAUGAGUGGCGAACGGGUGAGUAACACGUGAGUAACCUGCCCCCGACUUCGGGAUAAGCCCGGGAAACUGGGUCUAAUACCGGAUAUGACCGUUCCUCGCAUGAGGAAUGGUGGAAAGUCUUUUCGGUUGGGGAUGGGCUCGCGGCCUAUCAGUUAGUUGGUGAGGUAAUGGCUCACCAAGACGACGACGGGUAGCCGGCCUGAGAGGGCGACCGGCCACACUGGGACUGAGACACGGCCCAGACUCCUACGGGAGGCAGCAGUGGGGAAUAUUGCACAAUGGGGGAAACCCUGAUGCAGCGACGCAGCGUGCGGGAUGACGGCCUUCGGGUUGUAAACCGCUUUCAGCAGGGAAGAAGCCCCUUGGGGUGACGGUACCUGCAGAAGAAGUACCGGCUAACUACGUGCCAGC
rnacentral:rRNA from 1 species